CGCCGCGUGAGGGACGACGGCCUUCGGGUUGUAAACCUCUUUUAGCAGGGAAGAAGCGAAAGUGACGGUACCUGCGGAAAAAGCACCGGCUAACUACGUGCCAGCAGCCGCGGUAAUACGUAGGGUGCAAGCGUUAUCCGGAAUUAUUGGGCGUAAAGAGCUCGUAGGCGGUUUGUCGCGUCUGCUGUGAAACCCCGAGGCUCAACCUCGGGCCUGCGUGGGUACGGGCAGACUAGAGUGCGGUAGGGGAGAUUGGAAUUCCUGGUGUAGCGGUGGAAUGCGCAGAUAUCAGGAGGAACACCGAUGGCCAAGGCGAAUCUCUGGGCCGUAACUGACCCUCAGGAGCGAAAGGGUGGGGAACAAACAGGCUUAUAUACCCUGGUAGUCCACCCCGUACACGUUGGGAACUACUUGUGGGGUCCAUUCCACGGAUUCCGUGACGCAGCUUACGCAUUAAGUUCCCCGCCUGGGGAGUACGGCCGCCCGGCUAAAACUCAAAGGAAUUGACGGGGACCCGCACAAUCGGCGGAGCACGCGGAUUAAUUCGAUGCAGCGCGUAGAAUCUUACCAAGGCUUGACAUAUACCAUAACGGGCUAGAAGUAGUCAACUCUUUGGACACUCG
rnacentral:rRNA from 1 species